GGGAGGUGUUUGAGAGAACGGAGAGACAUCUGUUGUCACAGGCUGAGAAGUAGCUUCUUCCCAGUCUCCCUUGGGACAUACUCACUUCUCCCCGCUCCCCACACCCCAGCCCACCAUCCUCACCCAUAGAAGCCUUCGUGCCCUUCCCCUUCUGUACAGACUCGGUCUUACCACCUUUCCCUGCCAUCAGCUUCUCUCCACUGCUCCAUUUCUUCUUGAAGCAGAAGCCGGGUCAGGGCGCUGCCUGAAGUUCAAGGGGCUGCAGGUCUCAGUGACACUAGGGUUGCCAUCGCCACCACCCUGAAGAGUUGUGCCCACGCCACUGCUCCGGUGCUGCAGAACACACAGAAGGAGGUCACAGCAGCAGGGAGAAAGCCGUCCGGAGCCAUGUGUAUUGGAAGGUCUUCUGCCAUCACAGCUGUUUGAUCUCAGAUAAUGAAGCUGUUAUUUAGAAGUUAGACUAAGAGAGGAUUGUUUACACAGAGGAGGACUCAUCACAAGCACUGCUGAGAACUGCAGGCUCAUGGAACAAAACUGCUAACAACUUUCAGUCCACUUUCUGGCUGUGUAGGGAAUACAUGGAUGUUUCUGGAAGCAAUGACCAAUGCUCCUUGCCUUGAUGAGAAUUUCACUGGGUUUAGGGACAGCUUUUGCCCUCUUAGGACCUGAUCUUUGAAGACUGCAAACAGGUCUAGAAAAAAUGAGUUCAAUUCAGUAGCCGACAACUGCCCAUCCACUGUUGAGCCUACUAAUAACUUAUGCUUGGUUCUUGCAAUGCUAGAGGUCCUGAUGUUAAUCUUGAAAAAAUCAAGACUGAUUGAAAAACAUGUUAAAAAUGUGACUUUGUAAAAAAAUGUCUGAAGACCUUGAGGAAAACCCAGGACAAACAGUGGCCUGAUACAGUCAAGGCAAAACUUUGUGUUAACUUCAGAGAUUUUAUUUUGUAUUAAGGCCUUGUUUCAGCUGAUACUUAUUUGAAGUUAUUGAAUGCACAUAAGAAAUAAAAAAGAAUAGGAAAUAAAUUGGAGCCUUUGGAAAUACAGAUAUAAUUGUGGAUAAGAACUGGGUAAUUUAAUGUGAAUAAUUAUGCUCAUACAGUUGGUUAGCAAAACUGGGCUGGAUUCCGGAAUCCAUUUUCUCUAUCUACCAACUCCUCACUGGGGACUUUUGCUAUGAGAGUGCCUGGCCACCUGGCUGAGAAUGGAAAAUGAAGUUAUUCAUGUUCUUGUAGCACACAGAAAUAAUAAUUCUGACAAAUAAAGAAGGCAAUGAUAAUGUGAGACAAGUCUCUACCCUCAUGACAUUCUCAACUAGAGGCUGAGUAGAGCGAACUUGGCCCCAGCUCAGACAGAUCUGAAUUCAUAUCCAAUCAGACAGUCAUUCUUUCAACCAACAUCUGAUACUGGUGAGUGUGCCUCAAUCUUUACUACAAUCUCUUAAAUUAUUUUUCUAUGAGUAUCUUGCAUCAUGCACGUUUGACACACGGGGAGUAGUUUGAUGAGAGCCACAAUCAAGCACAAAAAGAGUCAACAGAAACAGACACAUAGAUGACCCAAGCAAGGACUUUUAAAAGGUGAUAAUAGAUGUGUCAAGGCAAAACUGGAAAGGCAGAAGAAAACGGAUGGAAAGAGAGAGAAAAAAUGUCCACUUGGAUGCAGCUGAAAGAGCACCAAGGGAUUGUUAGAAUAAAAUAGCAGGGGAGGAGCAGAACAAGAGUGGUCUAGUUUAAAUAUUAUUAAAAGCCCCAAAGAAGGGGGAGAGAUAAUGCAACAAAAUGGUGAUAUGGAUGUCAUUGCUGACCUAGAAUUGUCUGAACUCAACCCUCAGAAGCUGUGCAACCCCCAACAAGAGGGAUGUGGUAAAGACACUGACAUCCAGGCACACCGUAGUCAAUCUGCUGAAACCAAAGAAAGAUCAAAAGAGAAAUCUAACCAGCAAGCAGAGGGAAAAGCCUGAUUCCUCAAAAGGGCAACAUGAAGAAUUGCUGCAGUUCUCAACAGAGGCUGUGGAACUUAAAAAGAAAUAGAAUUAUCUUUACCAAGAGAAAAAAAAAAGUAUCAAGCAAUUUAGCAUUAGACACCUAGCAAAACCCUUCAAAGGUGAGUGACGAAUUUCUCCCCAGAAACUGACAGAAUGAAUAAAGAAGCAUAAGCUACAGACAGAAAGCAAACAGUACAUCUAUCCACAGCCCUGGAUACAGGCUAUAUAAAGAACUCUUAGAAUUCAAUAGUAAGAAGAUAAUCCCUUAAAAUGGCCAAAAAUAUUUUGACCUACACGCCACCCCAAAACAAUCAAACGAAUCCAAUACACAGAAAUGGCUGUUGGAAACACGAGAAAUUGUUCCAAGUUUGUUACUUACUAGGAAAAUAAAUGUAAACCAAACUUGCUGCUUACUCCCUCGAAUGGCUGAAGUGAAAUGGACAAAAACUGCCAACAGUUAGUACAAUUGAAACUCUUACCAUUGAUGAUAAGAAUGUAGAACUGUACAACUGUGGUAAAUUGGAGUUUUCUUAUGUACUAAACAUAUAAUUACUUACACAAUCUAGCAAACCUUUGCUCAGCAAAGAAAGAUCUCAGGCAAUUCAUAGCUGUUUUUUCAUGAUAAAUAGAUCCCAGAAAUAAUACAGGUGCCAACCAGCAGGGUAAGGAAGAAACACCUUCCCUUGGAUGAAGGAAAACAUCUCCAGUUUCAAGGACAGGGGACUCUUGAAGAGGUGUGUGUGUGUGUGUGUGUGUUCUUGUUUCUUUCCUGUUGAUGUGAUAGAUCAUCCUUCCCAAAAGCAACCAUGGAGGAAAGGAUAUAUUUGGCUCACACAUCCCAAUCACAAUCCAUUAUCAAAGGAAGUUAGGGGAGAAACUUGGAGGUAGGAACCAUGGAUGAAUGUUGUUUGCUAUCUCCCCUACUGAUUCAUACUUUGCUAGCUUUUCAUUCAGCCUAAGAAUUGUCUUGCUCACAUUGGUUAUUCUCUCCAACAUCAGUUAAUAAGACAGUCACUCAUAUCCAUGGCCACAGAGGAAGCUGAUCUAGGCAAUUACUGAAGUGAAUUCCUUUUUACGAUCGUGUCAAAUUAACAAUGUGUGUCAAAUUGACAGCACAGUGUGACUGCUUAAAGCAACAAUAAUAACUUUAUAUUAAUGGCAUCUAUGACAUAGGAAGCACAAAUCCACAACAACAUAUAGGAUAGAGUUGGAAAAUCAAUGAUAAGUUCAUAGUUUUAAGAACA